UGCCAGUGAUGAUCCCAAUAUUUGCUAGUUGAUGCGUCAAUGAUAUCAACCACAACCACCAAGAUCGCUGAGGCA
rfam:Branchiostoma floridae genomic scaffold BRAFLscaffold_200, whole genome shotgun sequence.